rnacentral:tRNA from 3 species
GCGAAGGUGGUGGAAUUGGUAGACGCGCUAGCUUCAGGUGUUAGUGUUCUUACGGACGUGGGGGUUCAAGUCCCCCCCCUCGCACCA